rnacentral:rRNA from 1 species
UACGUAGGGUGCAAGCGUUGUCCGGAAUUAUUGGGCGUAAAGAGCUCGUAGGCGGUCUGUUGCGUCGGCUGUGAAAACCCGGGGCUCAACUCCGGGCCUGCAGCCGAUACGGGCAGACUAGAGUUCGGCAGGGGAGACUGGAAUUCCUGGUGUAGCGGUGAAAUGCGCAGAUAUCAGGAGGAACACCGGUGGCGAAGGCGGGUCUCUGGGCCGAUACUGACGCUGAGGUGCGAAAGCGUGGGGAGCAAACAGG